rnacentral:lncRNA from 1 species
AUGCCGUUGGGCAGGAAGCCGGCGAUGAUGGGCACCGGCCAGAUGAGGGCGGCCACGCUCCACACGACGAUGACCAGGGUCAUGAAGCAGGCCACCAGCGUGGACUCGAUGGGCUUGCGGUUCAGCCGCCAGCCCGGCUCGCCCUGCAGCUCCUCCAGGCUGAAGUCCAGGCAGCAGAAGUGCAGCGGCUCGCCCUGCAGCCACAGCGGCCCGGGGGGGCUCGGCCGCGGGGUAGGCGGGCAGCGCGGUGGGCGCCCCGGCGGCGGCGGCGGCGGCGGCGGCGGCGGCGGGCCGGAGGCGGCCGGGGCGGCGGCCGCGCACCCAGCCGCAGCCCACGCACAGGCGCAGGUCCUGCUGCGCGCCGCCGGCCGCCAGCCCCAGGUGCUCGAUGAGCAGCGGCGGCCCGACGCGGUGGAAGGCGGCGGCGAAGAAGGCGCGGCCGUGCGCGUUGGUGGAGAAGAGCAGCAGGUCGCACUGGAAGCCCCGCGGGCGGCCCCAGCGCACGAGCAGCGAGCUCAGCAUCUGCCGCUGCACGCUGAUGUUGCACGGCGCCGCCGCCGCCGCCUCCUCCGGGCCCGGGCGCUCGGGGGGCCCGGGCGCCGCGGAGGCCAGCAGCCGCGGGGCGGCGGGCUCGCCCGCGGACGACGCGUUGACGGAGGCGUUGGGGGGCGCCCCACCGAGGCCCGGCGCGUCCGCGGCCCCGCCGCGGGCGGGCGGCAGCGGGCAGGCGGCGGCCAGCAGCGCGGCGAGCUGGAGCAGCAUGGCCUGCGGCGGGCGCCUACGCGCGCGGGGCGGGGCGGCGGCUGCAUGGCGCACGGACGACUGGCCGGCGAGCGGACGGCGGGACCGCGGGAGCUGGCGGCCGGGCGGAGUGGGGGCGCGCCCGGCACCCGGCAGCCCGCGGGGGCGGCGCGGAGGAGGCGGCGGAGGCGGCGGCGGCGGCGGCGGCGGCGGCUCGCUCGGCACGGGGAUCCCUCCCCGGCCCGGCUGCGUCUGGGGUUCCCCGCCGCCCCCGACGCGGGGGCCCUCGGACGGCCGGGCUGCUCUGCAGGGCCCGGCGCUCGCCCGGAGCAGGAUUCCCCGGCUCGGCUCCGCCUCCCGCGCGCCCCGCCCCGCCCCGCCCUCCGCCCGCCCGGCUGCGAGACUCGGGGGAGGGCGGGGUUCCACGCGCCGGGCCGGGCGGGACGCGCGCUGGGUGUCGGCCUGGGACCCUGCCGCCUGCGCGCGGCCCGGCCCGGGGCGGAGCGGAGGGUUGCGGGAGCCGCGCGGGGCGGGGGUGGGGGGUGGGGGGCGGGGAAGGGGGCGGGGACGGUUAGCCCGGCCGCGGGGCGGGGAGCUUGCCCACGCGUGCGACUCCGGGCGGAGGAGGCGCCGUGGGACAACUGCGUCCUCGCAUCCCCUGGUCACGCCGAGGGCUGA